rnacentral:rRNA from 1 species
UAUCAAUAAGCGGAGGAAAAGAAACUAACAAGGAUUCCCCUAGUAACGGCGAGUGAACCGGGAAGAGCUCAAAUUUGAAAUCUGGCGUCCUCAGGGCGUCCGAGUUGUAAUCUAUAGAGGCGUUUUCCGUGCCGGACCGUGUCCAAGUUCCUUGGAACAGGAUAUCAAAGAGGGUGACAAUCCCGUACUUGACACGACGACCGGUGCUCUGUGAUACGUCUUCUACGAGUCGAGUUGUUUGGGAAUGCAGCUCAAAAUGGGUGGUGAGUUCCAUCUAAAGCUAAAUAUUGGCGAGAGACCGAUAGCGAACAAGUACCGUGAGGGAAAGAUGAAAAGCACUUUGGAAAGAGAGUUAAACAGUACGUGAAAUUGUUGAAAGGGAAACGAUUGAAGUCAGUCGUGACCGAGAGGCUCAGCCGGUUCUGCCGGUGUAUUCCCCUCGGUCGGGUCAACAUCAGUUUUGUCCGGUGGAUAAGGGCGGUAGGAAGGUGGCACCCUCGGGUGUGUUAUAGCCUGCCGUCGCAUACAUCGGGUGAGACUGAGGAACGCAGCUCGCCUUUAUGGCCGGGGUUCGCCCACGUCCGAGCUUAGGAUGUUGACAUAAUGGCUUUAAACGACCCGUCUUGAAACACGG